rnacentral:rRNA from 1 species
GUGCCAGCCGCCGCGGUAAUACCGGCAGCCCGAGUGAUGGCCGAUAUUAUUGGGCCUAAAGCGUCCGUAGCUGGCCAGGCAAGUCCGUUGGGAAAUCCACCUGCUCAACAGGUGGGCGUCCAGCGGAAACUGCUUGGCUUGGGACCGGAAGAUCCAAGGGGUACGUCCGGGGUAGGAGUGAAAUCCUGUAAUCCUGGACGGACCGCCGAUGGCGAAAGCACCUUGGAAGGACGGAUCCAACAGUGAGGGACGAAAGCUAGGGUCUCGAACCGGAUUAGAUACCCGUGUAGUCC